rnacentral:rRNA from 1 species
AUUGAACGCUGGCGGCAGGCUUAACACAUGCAAGUCGAGCGGAGCGAGGGUGCUUGCACCUUAGCUUAGCGGCGGACGGGUGAGUAAUGCUUAGGAAUCUGCCUAUUAGUGGGGGACAACAUUCCGAAAGGAAUGCUAAUACCGCAUACGCCCUACGGGGGAAAGCAGGGGAUCUUCGGACCUUGCGCUAAUAGAUGAGCCUAAGUCGGCUUAGCUAGUUGGUGGGGUAAAGGCCUACCAAGGCGACGAUCUGUAGCGGGUCUGAGAGGAUGAUCCGCCACACGUGGACUGAGACACGGCCCAGACUCCUACGGGAGGCAGCAGUGGGGAAUAUUGGACAAUUGGCGGAAGCCUAAUCCAGCCAUGCCGCGUGUGUGAAGAAGGCCUUUUGGUUGUAAAGCACUUUAAGCGAGGAGGAGGCUACUUAGAUUAAUACUCUGGGAUAGUGGACGUUACUCGCAGAAUAAGCACCGGCUAACUCUGUGCCAGCCGCCGCGGUAA